AAGCGCAGCCGGAGAAUCGCGGAGGCCCCUUUUUGGUGGUCGAUGAGGAAAGUCCGGACUCCGCAGGGCACCGUAGCAGGUAACGCCUGCCCGCCGCAAGGCGAGGAUUAGAGCAACAGAGACGAGCCGGUUUGGUCCGGGUGAAACGGGCAAUCUCUACGGGGAGCAAUACCAAAUAGGCAGCCGCUUGAGUCCGGCCCGGAUGAUGGCUGCGGGUAGGUAGCUUGAGGCGCCGCGCGAGCGGCGUCCUAGAUGAAUGAUUCUCACGGAAGGCUCCUUCGCAAGAAGGCGCCUUGUGACAGAAUCCGGCUUACAAGCUGCGCUUUCUA
rnacentral:RNase_P_RNA from 1 species